GACGAACGCUGGCGGCGUGCUUAACACAUGCAAGUCGAACGAAGUGGCGAACGGGUGAGUAACGCGUAAUCAACCUGCCCUUCAGAGGGGGACAACAGUUGGAAACGACUGCUAAUACCGCAUACUGAAGGGGGGGAUUGCGUCUGAUUGGCUAGUUGGGGGGGUAACGGCCCACCAAGGCGAUGAGCAGUAGCCGGGCUGGGAGGGUGAACGGCCAAAUUGGGACUGGGACACGGCCCAGACUGCUACGGGAGGGAGCAGGGGGGAAUCAUCCGAAAUGGGCGAAAGUCUGACGGAGCAACGCCGCGUGAGUGAUGACGGCCUUCGGGUUGUAAAGCUCUGUUAAUCGGGACGCGGUACCGGAAUAGAAAGCAACGGCUAACUACGUGCCAGCAGCCGCGGUAAUUC
rnacentral:rRNA from 1 species